rnacentral:rRNA from 1 species
AUGGCUAGCCAGCAAAACUUCUUUUCUCUCAAGGCGAAGAUCUCUUCACCUUUGGCUACCAUUGAAACAAUGUUCGAUGGCUUCAGGAGGUGUGUACUUGUGUACAAUAGCAUCAAGGAGAUCAUAUGCAGCCAAAUUAUCCUUUGCCAGAGCAACAAAGGCCAAGAUACAGUCCUUCAUUCAUCUGACCAAGAUGGCGCAAAAACAGUGGAAGAAAAUCAAUGGAAAUCUCCUUCAGCUGAGAAGGAAGGUGGUCAAACUGUUGGCCGGAGCAAGAGAGGUCGUUACUUCGAUGCUUCAGUCAUCCACGCGGCUCCUACUGAAGCAAAUUGUGAUGCCGAGUUAUAA